rnacentral:rRNA from 1 species
AUGGCGACCGGCGCACGGGUGAGUAACACGUAUCCAACCUGCCGAUAACUCGGGGAUAGCCUUUCGAAAGAAAGAUUAAUACCCGAUGGUAUAAUCAGACCGCAUGGUUUGAUUAUUAAAGAAUUUCGGUUAUCGAUGGGGAUGCGUUCCAUUAGGCAGUUGGUGAGGUAAUGGCUCACCAAACCUUCGAUGGAUAGGGGUUCUGAGAGGAAGGUCCCCCACAUUGGAACUGAGACACGGUCCAA